CCUGGGGAAGGAGUGUGUUGGGCCAGCCCCGGGGUCCGGGGCUUCAAAGGUAGCUUCCCUGCCUACCUGCCUGCUUUAGGGGCUGCUUAUCCCCGGAAGGGAGAGACUUGGGGCUCAUAUUUCCCCUUGGCUGGCCUCCAAGCCGACCUAGACAGAAGACGGAGCUGCGACGUCGCUUUAGUUUUGGAAGAAGUUAGACCUUCCUCCUAUCAGCCCUGCGAUAAGACCCCCCUUUAUCUGCUCAUGGAGAGAAAGCUGGAAGGGACCCCAGAAGUCUUCAGAACCAAUCCUUUCAUUUUGACAGAUGAAGUACAGAGAAAUGAAGUGAAUUGACCAAGAUCACAAGCGUGGGGAAAAAGCCUAGUCUACAUGGAAGGGACUUCAACAGAUGUUCCUAGCACACCAUCUAACUGCUUAUGAUAGUUGGAGGCUUCAUUACUUGCCAAUGAACACCUGACCCUGAACUCUGGCUUUGGCCUGAAGAGAUCUGAAGACAGCAGCUUUUCCUGGUAAUCGUGGAAAGACUCUGGAAUUGGGAAUAGCCACCUCAGAUUUUCAAACAACUGCAGAGGGUGACAUCUGGUAGGGAAGACUGCUGAGCCAACAGCUGUUUUCUAUUAAUGGCUAAAGCCCCUGGUGCUCUGCACACAGUGAUAUUGUGUCUCCUGAUUGUCUUCCAAUCUCCUCCAGCCAACCGUCACCCUCACCUCAUUGUCUCCGGAUCCCCUCCUCCAGUAAGAAACCAGGGCAGAGGGCCUUUCCAAGUGUCCCUCAUAUCACACUGCAUGGGGUAGACCUUGUCUUCAAGUUUCAAAUUCCAUACUUCAGAUGAGCCUUUGAAGGUCAAACUUUCAAGUUGAUGGAAGUACAGAAAAAAAUAAAAAUAAACUUAACUGAAGCAAAUUGUAGGCCAAGGAGGGAUAUGACCAACAUCUCCUGGCCCAAAUCUUCUCCUGGGAGAAGCAGGAAGUUAAAAUGUUUCUGGCUUUUUGGUUCAGUUAUCAAGACUAUAUUUAUAUCAUUGAAGACAUUUGAUAUCAUGAUUGAUCAUACUGCUUUUUGAAUUCACCUGAAGCAUAAUAGAUUAUACUCCAGUAUCUUAUUUUAAUUUUGUGUGAAUUUUUAUGUUUCAACUAUGUAAAUAAUAUACUGUUUCUUGUAAACAAUA